GCGCUCGUAGCUUAAAUUGGAUAAAGCCUUUGGUUUCCGAAGCCUUGGAUUACGGUUCAAAUCCGUACGAGCGCU
rnacentral:tRNA from 1 species